rnacentral:rRNA from 1 species
CUUUGCUGGCGACCGCGCACGGGUGAGUAACACGUAUCCAACCUGCCUUUACUCGGGGAUAGCCUUUCGAAAGAAAGAUUAAUACCCGAUAGCAUAAUGAUUCCGCAUGGUUUCAUUAUUAAAGGAUUCCGGUAAAGGAUGGGGAUGCGUUCCAUUAGGUUGUUGGUGAGGUAACGGCUCACCAAGCCUUCGAUGGAUAGGGGUUCUGAGAGGAAGGUCCCCCACAUUGGAACUGAGACACGGUCCAA